GUGCGCAGGCGCGGGGCGAGCCCGGCGGGCGCCGAGGGGAGUGGGCGCCAGGGCGGUGCUGUGGCGGGAACCCUGAGGCGCCGGGGGGGGAGCGGGGCGCGCGGCCCCGCGCUCGGCGCCUCGAGGACCCCAACGGCCGCGCCGCCAUGAGCAACGGCCCCCAGCAGCAUGCGGAGAGUCAAAGAGGUUUUGCGCCCUUUUGGGAAAUCUGACUUUUAAAUUAUUCCCCGAAUGACGCUAACAGCUUUGUGUAGUAAUGAGAAAAUACAGGCUAUGGAAGCUGAUGGAAACUCGCUUCUCAUCGUCCAGGAUCUUCGAUAUUUAGAUGUAUUUAUAGCAUCAGGAAGUUUUUUUACAGCUUUCUUCAGGUAGAGAGGGAGACAAGAUUACUACCAAAAGGAGCUUACCAUUUCAAGUGUUAAGGCAUUUCAGGGCUUUUCCAUGGCUUCCCAUCACAGCUGGGAAGGGCUUUCCAGAAACACCUGCGAAAAUGGCUGGUGCCCUGAGACCAACGUGCCUCAUUGAUACCGCGUGCUCCCAUCUGCUGGAUACAUUCAACUACCAUGUUUUGCUUCAUUCUUAAACUCAAGAUGCCUUAGGGAAGGGACUUGUCUUUUGUUGUGUUCAGCACAGUGAGAACCUGAAAAAUGACAGCCCCCUAAGCUGUGCAGCAUACAUCCCAAACCUGCGUAUCUGUGAUUCUGAUGUCACCUCAAAGCUGCCUCUUCCCCAAGCUGAUGCUUCAUGUUAUUUGCAGUAAUGCAAGGGAGCAUUCCCUUUCAAAUACACAGAAGUGAUAUCAAUUCCUUGAUGUUUAAUUUGCAGUCAAGAAGAAAUUAUAGGCAACAUACAGAAAAAAAAAUGGUUCCUCUCUUUAAACCCCGUUAAAGGUUGCCAUUCUCUGACUCACAGCCAAUGCAAACCCAUUGAAAAAGACACAGCCUAGAUCUAUACAGUUGUUUAGAGGGACCUAAAAGAUAAUUUAUUGUUCAAAGAACUGUUGUGAAUUAUUAAAGCAAGCACUCUGCCUUGCUUAACUCAGGUCCUCCUUCAGAUUUUGAGAGUUUAUUUCUCUUCGUCAUCCAGAGCAUUUUUAAAUGUGCUGAAUAUAAGUUUGUCAAUGAAAUGGCAAGUUUGCUAGCAAGUUCUGCUUUCUCUGUGUAUUUGCAGGAGAAUCUCAGUACAGAGCAUAUGCAUUGCAGGUGUUUCUUUGUUCAUAUUUAAUGAUAGGAGGAAGAAAAAUGUAAUUAUGCCUUGUCUUGCUCACUCUCCUCCCUGCCUGUAAGUAUUUGAACUCUCUGAGAUAAAGGCAAGUGGUAAUGUAUCUUUUCUGACAACUGAGCGCUUCCCAGAGGCAAAUCAGAAGUGCCUCUGCCCAAAUCAUUCAACAUUGUGCAGUUUCUAUGUGAGCAGUCUCUCAUUUAAAGGAACACAGCCAGUCUUUCAUAGACUUUCAUUGUACAGACAAUAUUUCAAGUACCUAAAAUUGAUCAAAGUUAGAAGUACAGUGUUUCCUGUUUGUUUUCUUUAUAUGUUUGACAACCCAAUUGGAUAUUGCUAGCUUCACUUUUUUCACUGACUAGUUGGCUGAUUUCUUCCUAUCUGAAAAGUCUUAUGCAUAUUAUUAGAUUUGAAGGUGCCCCAUCAAAAUGGGGCUUGGCUAGAAAAUGGGCAUUUUUUUUCUAUUUAGUCAUUUUAGAAAAACUGGAAUUAAUGUGACUAGCAAGGGGCCAGGUUGAGAAGACUACCUGGAGCUUAAGGUCUGUACAACAAAGUAAACUGCCUAUUUUACACUCUAAACCUAUCAACCCCUUUUAAAGCACAGCAUAGGGUUACAAAGAUCUGCUGCCAAAGAAACCUAGGGAGAGACUCUAAACAAGGGAAAAUGUAUUCCAGCUGCUUGGGAUCAAAAUCCAAAUCUCAGACAUGCAAACAAAUAGCCCAGAUGCAGAAGCCAAUAAUUAGUUGCUGAAAAAUACUGUGGCAAAUGUGAAACUGAGAAAGGGGUGGGAAGUAUGGGAAAAAAAAGGAUGAAAGAUUGGAAAAUGCCCUUGCAGUAGCAAAGAUGUAGCUAAAACAGAGGAUUUGGAUAUGUGAGCAAUAACCCAAGGGAUUACAAGAGAGAAUUUCUUGGGAGUUAUCAAGUUGCACAGUGACAGUGCUGGUGUUUGGAAAGAAUGUUACUUGAAGCUUGGUUUAAUUGGAAAGAGCAUGUUUCUAUUACAGUUUUGUUCCAUUUUAUUUAAUAAAAAGGGAAAAAAUACAGGGAAGAUAAGUGCUUAGGGCAGAAGAGGUUGAAUAAAAUGAAAAGAAUCCUCCCAAAGAGCUUCAGUAACGAGAGACAAUCUAAACAUAAGGGCCAGUGCCAGGUUUCCACAAUGCAAAAAUGUGUCCAGGACCAGCAAAGGGCAGUUGCCUCCCAAGGGACAGGGAGCCAGGAGCUGAGCAAAGCCGACAGCGACAGCACCCAAGGCCCUGUUCCAUGGUGUCAGCUGGAGUCAGUGGACUCCAGUGUGUUGGGCUCUGGUUGUUGUUUGGGAGAGGAGAAGGAGCUGAACUUCAGUAAAGUCCAGGUGUUUGAAGAUGUAAGGCAGGAAAUAAUGGUGGAUAUUUACAACUGGAAAUCAAAACAUGUUGGGACAGACAUUUCUGAAGAGCAAGCGACUUGCUGCACAAGGAAUGUCACCCUCAAACAACAGAAGUAACACACUUUAAGUUUCUCAAAUAACAUAAUUAUUAAUUUCCUUUAGCUUGAGAUUUUGAUUAUCAAAGAACUAAACAAUGAGGGCAAAAAUGACAAAACUCAAAACAAUCCACUUUUUUUAUUUUGCUUCAAGAAAGUAACUGACCAAGUAACAGACAUGAAAGAUCUGUUUCAGCAGCUAUUUUCUUCAGCUAAAGCAAAGAGGAAGUGAUGCUGUCUUUAUUAAACAUGCAUGUUUUCAGACUGAAGCUCAAUGUAAGAAUAAGAAAUGAUGGUUUCUCUCAUUAAAGGGCACAGUUGCUGAGUUAUUCAUACCACAGGGUUCAGCUUGUGCUCACAGUUAAAAGCAAAUGGCUUAAAAAUGUAUUUUAAAAUAGUCUGGUACUUAGGGAAAGAUAAUCUUGAACUUUACACAUUUUUGCAGGAAAAGACCCAAUAAAUCAGGUAAAAUAGAUAAGGCAGCAAGCACUCACUAUAUCAGCAAUUCAGUCUUUCAGACUGCCGAGAAAAACUGCCCUUAGGAAAAUGAGAUUAUUUAUAUAGAAUGACAGAUUUGUUGUUAAUCUCUAAAUUCAUAAUGAAACAGAUUAGGCAAACCUUAGAAGUGGUAUUUGAUAACCAGGAGACGUCUCAAGGAACACUCUUUUGAAAAUGAAUACUCUGCUCACUGACAUAAAUUAGAGAAAUUAAAGAAGACUGCCCAGUCCUUUCAGUUAUGAAUGGAAACCUCUUUAUAUUGUUUUUUUUUAUGCAGAGGAGCCACUUAAGCAGUACUUAGGGCAAGGAAGUUCUUGAGAAAAAAGCCAGUCAUCAAGAAUAACUAAAACAAGAGCAGGACAUUAAACAGCAGUGAAAUUCUUAAGAUUAGAAGUACACAGAAAAGUAUACUAAGAAUUAAUAGAAGUUGAAUAAGUUUACGGCAUUUGACCAAAAAAAUCUGAUAUUUUCUGAAAAAGAAAAUCAAGUGGUAAGAACUAUUGAUUUGAGUAUAGGAAUUCAGGAGCAAUGCUUUUCAAGAAGAAAUAAUCAGCAAACGAUAGUUACACAUUGUAGUGAAAAUGUGUACUACUUUUGUUGUUUACUUACUAAAAAAACCUUUAUAAAUGAGAUACUCUGAAGUUAAAAAGAUUACCUACAUGUAACAAUUUAUGAGCAGUUACAUCAAUUAAAUGUAUAAAGAAAUAGCAAAAUAAAACAAUACAGAAAACAAACAAAUGUAAAACUUAGUAAAACCACAAGAAAUUAUGGCUUACUAGCUGAAUUCUACAAAGUAUUUGAAACCCUUUGAGAGGUACUUGUAUUUGCAUUUAGUGUGGAAUGAGAUUCCAGUCUGUGAAAAAGAAAUACUGUCUUUUUUCUCCUAAAUGUGGAAACCCCCUGUUCUCCUCGAGCCCUUUGUGGAUUCAUAGGCAGUCUCGUAUUUUGAUACAGUCUGAUAUCACUACUGAAUCCUGAGCUGUUUAUAUUUUUGUCCUCACCAGUUAUAAUCCAUUAACUGGGCUAGAACAAACAGAGAUCAAACUGAAUUUAGUAAGGCUAGGCAGAUGCCAGGUAAUAUUCAUAAAGCACUUGCAAUCAUUUAUAGUGCCAGAUCAAAAAGACGUCUGUUAUUAUUUGACACAGAGAAGGCUUUGAAAGAAGAGAGUGGAAGUUCCCGUUUAAAGUCCUCUCCCAGGUGAACCUUUGUCCUCAGUCUUUUCAAUAAUUAAAUGAUUUAAACAAAGCUCAUGCUGUCUGAGGCAGGGGGAGUCUCUAGAUGAUGACUCUUCAGUCAUAUUUUCUGUGAACCUGUAAGUUUAUGAAUCUCUGAGUUAUUCCUUAUGCCAAUUUGAAAACAGCUAUGUAAAUAAUGAAAUUUUAUUUCCCAGUUUUAUUAACGUGGUCAUCUAGGUGAGGUUUUGUGCCAUAGAUAACCCUAACAUUUCCUUAAAACAUACAUCAGAGGAAACCAAUGAUUUUGAGAAAAUUCUCAGCUUCAAAGUAAAUUUUGGAAAAUUUCAAAAGUUAUACAGUUGUCAAAGUUCUUCCUUCAGAAAAUACUUGUGAGUAAAUAUUUAACAGAUUUCAAGAUUCUUAGCAAUCAAAUUUCAGAGAAAUCUAGAACAGCCAUAGGACUAAUAUGCCAAACAGCUCCUUUAACAACUAGAAGAAAAACUAACCAUAAUCAAGAUGAGUAUUUUCCAUGGAUAUCUCAUUUCAAGAUCUUAUAAUUAUUCUUAACAAAGCUUUAGCAGGUGAGUUGAAGUGUGAGUAGAAGGUAAAUGAGAUAUGAAAAAAACAGUAAUUUUAUAGGAAACACUCUAAAUACUGUGUGCAGAGUAUUGUACAUAUUACUGUUGCUACCAGCUGAGUCAGAUAAAAAAACAAUGGGUUGGGCAUUGCUUUCCUCAGAAAAAUACUAGUUGUUUAUUGAUGGUAUAUACAUGUUGCUAGAUUACAUGGAUUAAGUGAAAAAAGACAUCCUUUACAAAUGUAUACAUAACCUUCAGCAAAGAAUGCUCUGAGUUUUGUAGUAGUAUUACACAUAAUUAAAAUUUUUCAGAAAUGAUGGGCCAGAGGGUUUUAAUUAUAGAAGAAGGUUUUAAUUAUAGAAGAACCUAUAGAAGACACGGUAUUAGCCAACUAUUCAAUAAAGAAAAUUUUUGAGCAUAUUUAAAAAUCAAUACCAAUUUUAGUUAAUCACUCUGUCAGUGCCCACGGGAAAAUAAUAGAGAAUAAGAAAAUAUCAGUAUGCCUCUACAGAAACUAUGACCUAUCCACAUCUGAAAUAUACUUUCUAUCAAAAAAUGGUAUGUUGAACUAGAAGUAAAAAUGGGAAAAGGAGGAUCAUGACUUUGUACAAGGAGAGAUUAAACAGGCUAUCUGCUUGGGAAAGGACACCUAAGAGAGAAAGGACCAUAAAAUCAUGUGUGAUAUCAGAAAGAUGAAAGGGAAACAAUUUGUUCGCAUUGCUCACAAGAUAAGAAUAAGGAGACACCAAUGACAUCACACAGCGGAUGUAAAACAAAGCAGCACAUAAUUAAAUACUAGAACUCUUUGUCACUGGAUGUUACAGAGGCCAAAAAUAGAAAUGUAUUCACAAGGUGAUUAUAUUGAAAAUCCAGCUAAGAGCUCUUAAAUGCAAAGGUCCAAAUACAACCUCUGGCUCAGUAAAUUCCUAAACUGAUGUGGAUAGGCAGAAACUGCGAUAGUAUCCUGGGGAAGUAUCACCAGAGAAUUGCUUGGUUUCUCAUGUUUUUCUUCUAUUUCACUACUGGAGGCAGAACCUCGGGCUAAGAGGAUCAUUGGUCUGGUUAAGUGAAGCAGUGCUUACGCUGUCAGAUGGGAUCAUAUGUUUUUACAUUUUCCAGAAAGAUUAUUAGCAACA